UACGUAGGCAGCGAGCGUUGUUCGGAGUUACUGGGCGUAAAGAGUGCGUAGGCGGUUUUCUAAGUUUGGUGUGAAAUCUCCCGGCUUAACUCGGGAGGUGCGCCGAAGACUGGAAGGCUUGAGUAUGGGAGAGGUAAGCGGAAUUCCUGGUGGUAGCGGUGAAAUGCGUAGAGUAUCAGGAGGAACACCUGCGGUGGUGAGACGGCUUACUGGACCAUCACUGACGCUGAGGCACGAAAGCGUGGGUAGCAAACAGG
rnacentral:rRNA from 1 species